AUUCACACAGUGACGGGAAACUUGAUAUUGAAACUACCAAACUCAUACAGCUAUGAAUUUCAAGUUUUUGCAAGGAAGGAAGAUGGGUAGGCAACCUUCCCAACAAUUAAGGACAGGUUUUUAUUGAAAGCUCACGAAGGCUGGGGAGUUUCAAAACCUUCUCGUCUCCUUCACAAGUGUCCCACUCCUUCCAGUUUGGAAGACUCUCAAAAGAUAGGAUCUCUAAUGAUGCAAAUGGAUUCAAUUGAUUUUCUCCAAAGAACUCAACACCAAUCUUCUGUACUUGAUCGAAACCAAUAAUUGAAAGAUCUUUUAACAAUGGCAGCCUUCCAACUGAUGGUAGUGAUUUGCAGUUUUUACAAUUGCGAAGCUUCAAAGACGACAAAUUCUUGAAGGAAGAAUCUGCUAUUCAAGACGAGAAUUUUACACCCCCGUAAUUCUCAAUGAUGAGUUGCUCAAGCUUUUUCUAAGGACGAAGAAAGCCCAACACCUGCUCUUCAACUUCUUUUUUCCUUGUACUAUUCUCCAAGUCUUCACCCCAUUGUAGUUCUAACCCAUCAAUCCCUAGCUUCCCAUUUAACUUAGCUUCCCUCACAUCUUGACCAUUAACAUUCUCCAAUCCAGAAAGACAAAAAUUACCUCUAAGGUUUGACAAAUUUUUCAGCUCUCUAAUAAGAUGUCCAUCACCUUCCCCUAUAACAAAAUUAGAUAACGUUUGAAGCUUGGUCAGCUGAUCAAAUCCGGAGGGCAUCCUUUCUAUUGAAUCGGCACCACUAAUAUCAAGAAAAUGCAAGUUGACAAGGUUUUCGAUCUUCGAGGGUAAAUUUUUGAGCUUUGAACAAUUUCUUAGUAUUAAAGUCUCCAAAUGAUAAAGAGUACACAAAGAAUCAGGUAAACAAUUGAUUUGGGUGCUAGAAAAAUUUAAGUAGCGUAGAUGUUUUAAAUUUUCAAAAAAGUCAGGCAAAUCAAAGAUCUCACACCCACGCAAAGAAAGAACCCUUAAGCAGCUCAGUCUUGGCAACAGAUCUUCCACGACAACAUUAGUUAAAUAGAAACGGCAUUUUCCAUGCAAUAAGGGUAAAAAAGUAUGUAAAGAAGUCAUUUGAUAAAAUGCUUCAAACUUCUUUACACUGUGAUACCCAUCAUCGCUAACAUAAGCCGAAUGACGAGUGCGAAGCGAAAACUUUGAUUGCUUAUCAUCCUCCAAUCUGCAACAUAUUUCUCCUGCAAUUGAUUGAGCUAAAUCAUUCAUAAGAUCAUGCAUCACGAAACGGGAUUUAUCUUUACCAGAUCUUUGAAAAAAUGACCUUGACACUAGAUCUUGAAAAUAUUGGUUUCCAAGACCUUUGCCUUGAAUUUUAGCUUUUGAUUGCAAGAAACCUUCUGCUCUCCAUAACAAGAUUAUCUCUUCUUCUUCGAAUUCAUAAUCUUUAGGAAAUAUGGAGCAGUAUGCAAAGCAUCGUUUCAAAUGAGGAGGAAGAUAAUGGUAGUUUAAUCGCAAAGCUGGAAUUAAGCCACAUGGAUCUUCUGGUAGGUCCCAUAUCUCGCUCUCAUUUAUUUUUUCCCAUUCACUAUGAUCCUAAACUGUGCGUAAUAAGCUUCCAAUGGCUUUUGCUGCCAAAGGUAAGCCGUUGCACCUUCUCACUAUGUUCUCUCCAAUUUCUUUAAAUUGGAGAUGCCCAUCAAAGUUUCUUGCUUUCAAUGCAUGCUGAGCGAAUAUGGAUAAACAAUCAUGAUGCGAGAGUUUAUCCAAGUAAAACGCUUUCACCGAAUCGACAUUAGAUGAAACCUUUUCAAGUCGAGUUGUUACAAUAAUCUUGGUUCCUGCUCCAAAUGGAGUCCGUAAGAUGGUCCAAUCACUGUAACUCUCGUUCCAAAUGUCAUCUAAAACAAGCAAAAACCUUUUUCCGGAUAACUUCUCCUUCAACUUGACUUGAAGCAAGUUCAAGUCGUUCUCAUCACGUGAUUCGGCAUCGAGGGAUCUUAAAAUCGUCUUUGUUAUGUUAACAGCAUCAAAGUCAUCAGAAACGCAUACCCAGGACUUGUGAUCGAAAGACUCCUUAAUGCUGGGAUCAUUGUAAACAAGCUGAGCAAGAGUUGUUUUCCCCAUCCCUCCCAUGCCAACGAUGGAAAGGACACAAACUCCAUCGGAAUUGUUACUGUUGAGCAGCUCAAGCAUUUCUUGCUUCUCAUUGGCUCUACCAACAUACUCCACAGCUCCAUCCAUCAAGGAAGCUGGUUGUAGCCUGGGUUUGUUUCCCUUGGAAGUUGCGCCUUGAGACAUGAUCUCACUCAACCCCAAACUACUUCUUCGAGUGUUCAAACUAUUCAAUCUAUCAGUGAUUGUGUUUAUCUUUGAAAUCAUCUUGGCAUUGAACAUAAAAGAGAUUGGAGAGAAAUUACCACCAGUACAGCAGGUUGGAAUGAGUUUCUGUAUCUUACUAGUGCUGGCUUGUGGUUGAGUUUUUUGGUGCUUGAGACGUAACUCUUGGUAAGCAAACUCGUCCAAGAUGUCAUCCACAUCGUAAGCUAAGUCUUGGAGAUCGUCCAACCAAUUCUUCACACCUUCGUCCUUGAUCUGCUUCUCCUCUGCAUGGUUCAACACUGUUUUGAUCUCGGGUAAUAUGGAUUGCCACAGUUUGAGUUGCUGGUGGACCUGCCUGUGAUCGGCCACAAAGUUGAGUACAGAGUCAAGCAAUUUGGCAGACAACAGCUCCAAAAAGGCAGAAAGAGCAGCCUCUCCAAAGACAGACAUGGUGGAAUUGGGACAAAGAAAUCAAAGAGAGAGAUGAAGAAAUUGAGGGAAAGAAAUGGAGAUGGAUUGUGUAUAAUUGGGGCUAACAGGCAAGGGCGUUGAAGUCAAUGGAUAGUGCCAAAUGAGAUGGGAAAACACAAGGAAAAGGGAAAACAGGUCACAGUUUUUGGAUUUAUGAAAUUAAACAGAAGCCGCAGCUCUACCAUAUUUUCUUAUCAGCUACCAAUAAAUAAACAAUACCGACCAUUUAUUUUUCCUGCACGCCCACAGGACAUACAUUUAAUGUCAUUGUUGACAUGUACUCAUCUUCACUGAUUAAUAUGUUAUUUUUCUGUAAACGUGGCAAAGCUCCAUCGGUUAGCUAGUUGGUAAUGUUAUCUGCUUUGUGUUGGAACCGUAAACCAGUCCACUCACCUACACUUUACCAACCAAUGCCAAAGCUUGGACGGUACUUUAGCCAUUUCAUUUCUGAACUUCUUUUUCGUAUAAAUUUGAGAGUCAUUUUUUUUUAUAAAUAUAAUUAAUUUUCACCAAACAUGCCAUAAUCUAGAAACUUAUAAUACCCAUGUUUAAAAUAUUUCAUAUUUUUAUGCAUUUACAGUUUACUAAUUUACAACAUUUGGAUGGUUAUUAGGAUUAUGUUUGUAUCAAAUAUAUAAAUAUAUAUAAGGAAAACAACGCUUCCACAUCGGCACUUUUUUUCUUAUGUCAGGCAAAAGCGCGUUGAUGUAGGUAUAUUUUUGUUCGUGCUUAGACUAAAUUUUUAAAAAAAUAUCAAAUAUGACAAAAAUAGAUCAAUUUUUUAAAAAUUUACGAGAAUAAGUCUUUACAAAGAUCCAUAGUACCAUUCCUUUUUGUUUUUUUUUGUCACCAAUUAAUAUGAAAAUAAAAUUUACAGAACAUAUCUUUAUAUAACUAAUUAUAUUUUACAAUGUGGGAAAUGAGACUUUGGAUUUAUAUAAAGAUCUGUUUUGUAAGUUUUAUUUUUAUAUUAAUUGGUGGCACAAAAAAAAAGAAAUGGUGCUGCCACUUUGGAUCUUUGUAAAGACUUAUUCUCGUAAAUUUUUAAAAAAUUGGUCUAUUUUUAAAAUAUUUUAAAAAAAUUACCUUUUUUGAAAAUUUAGUCCAAGCACGGGCAAAAGCACGUCCACGUCAGCGUGCUUUUGCCUGAUACAAGAAAAAAAGCACUGACGUGGAAGCAUUUUUUGGAUUAUCCCCUAAAAACGUGUCCAUGUCAAUUUUGGAUUUUCAAUCCACACUCGUAAUUAUUUUUAGAAAUUACCUAUUUCCGUAAAUAAUUUCGAAAAUAGACCUUUAUUGGUACUAUGUCUUAUAUUUUGUAAAUUAAUUCAGUAAUUAUGACCAUCUAAUUGUAAUUAUUUACGCCAUACAAGUAUUGUGUUUUAAUGCAAAAUUUAACAAUAAAUUAAUUUUUUUAGUUAUAUACAUUAUUUUAAAAUUUAAAUUAUUAUUUUAAUUUUUUUACUUUUUUAAUUUUUUUAUAAUUUUUUAGAAUUUUUUUGAAAAUUUUAUAAAUUUUUAAAAAUAUUAAUUUUGGAAUUUUUAUAAAUAUUUUGAGUUUUAAAAAUUAUUUUUGAAUUUUUGAAAAUUAUUUUGAUUUUUUUGUAAUUUUUGUUGAGAAAGACCAAUUUACUUAUUUUCAAACUUGACAGGACCAAAAGGGUAUUCACAUCAAUCGUUAUUCGAAUUAUAAAAUUCAAUUCAAUUCGAACUUGAAACUCAGGGGCGAAACCAGGGGUAGGCAUGGGCCCCGGCUCCCCUAAAAUAGAAAAUUUUCAUUUAGGCCAUUUAUAAUUUUUUAUAAUUUUAAAUUAGUAAAGAUAAAAUUGAACUUUGGCCCCCCUAAAAUUAUAAAAAUUUAAUUUAAUCCUUUAAAAAUUAUAAAUAUAUAGACUAUAAAAAAUUAAAAUUUUAUUCGCCCCCAAAAAAAAAUUUCUGGCUUCGCCCCUGUUGAAACUCAAAUUACUUAUUCGAGUUGACUCGAAUAAUUCAAAUAACUUGAUUCGAUUAACACAAAAUUAAAAAAAUUAAUUUUUUUAAUUGAAUCGAGUAUUGUUCACAUUUAUCUAUGGAUGUCAAGUUUAUUGUGAAAUAUUUAAAAUUUAAACAGUAAAAUUUAAUUUAAUUUUAAAUAUAUAGAGCUGGUACCAGUAUUUUUUAUUUAGAUGUAAUUGGUCAUCUCAAAAUUAAAAACAUAUUAUUUUAAUAAAAUUUUAAAAAAAUCAAAAUUUAUUAAAAAAAAAAUUUAUGGUCUAGAAAACAAAAUUUGAAUUCGGGUGUAAUGUUCCACGUGAGGAAAAUCUUUUAUUUUUAAAAAGGAUAUUCUUUUUCAAUAAAUAAUCAUUAAAUAUAAUUAUUAUAAAUGUGCAAACCAUUUCCAAACAUAUGAAUAAUAUAACAUUAUCGAAUAUCAAUAUGUAUAAAACAAAAAUAAAAUAUAAACAAACCUAAGCAGAUUUUUUUUCAAUAAUAUCUAAAACUUUUGAUUAAUUACAAAAAUAAUCCUCUUCCAAACUUAUUUACAUAAAUGACCCGUUUAUUACAAUAAAACUCGAUGUUGUCAUUGUCAUUGGUGGCACCAACUCUAAUAAUUACCUAAUCACUGUCCGGUUUAAUAAAAAAUUUUAAUUUUUGAGUGACGGCAUUGCCAUUGGCGACACCAGAAUGUAUAAUCGUCCACCCCGUCAAAAAUACCGAUAUUCUGGAAGAAAAAGAAAAAAAGAAAAAAAUUAUUUUAACGGAUGUCAUUGUUGUCAUUGGCGGUACCAAUGUUUUUUUUUAAAAUGUGUCAAAGAUUUUUGCAAAAAGCUUUUUUUGUGCCACCAUUCUCCUUGGCAACACCCAUCAGAAAAAAUAAUAUUUAAAAAAAUGAUUUUUUUGUGUCGCCCUUGCCAUUGGUGGCACCGGUGUAUUUUUUUGCUAGAAAGUUUGAAUUUUUUUGGUCCCAUCGUUCUCAUUGGCGGCACAGGCUAUUUUUUUCAUUAAACUUUUCUAUUGCCGCCAAGCUCUUUGGCAGCACCAGUCCCUACAUAUGCUUUUUUUUUUUUAACAUUGAUGUAACUGUUCAAUCGAAAAAGAAAAAAAAAGAGAAAGAGAAAUUUUUGUGUUUAGUAGAAGAGAAAACAAAAUUCGUUUUGAAGAUGAAUAACCCAAUGUUUUUUUUUUGUACAUUCUUUUCAAUGAAGCAAUUAUAGAAGGUGACGAUGGUUGUGUACAUUUCAAGAUCGACAGAGAGUAGGUAUGAGAUUCAAUAACUUUGUGAAGCUAAAAUAAAUAAGAAGAAAGAUUAGUAUAAAAAUAGCUCUCUAUUGUGAAAGGGUGAUGUCAAGAUUAUUCUACAAGUUUCCAAUUUCAAGAACACUUAAUGAAGAAAAUAAACUACCAAUUGCAAGAAAAAACAAGCAUCAUAUCUAUAGACUUAAGUUUUGCUAAUUAUCUCCCUAGUAAACAUGAUUAAUCAAGCAAAUUAAUCACUCAAUCACACACAAACUCCCUAACAACGGCGUCACCAACUUGACAGCGCACACCGGGCCUAAGAAUCAACACAAAAAUAAUCAAUAAUCUAGCGGUGUACUGCAAAUGUGACAAGUCGAGUUGUAAUAUUUUUAGUGUUAUAAUGGAACACUCGAGUAUUCCAAGGACUGAACCCAAGAAAGUUCGGGGACUAAGUGAUUUGUAACACCCCAAACAAUGUUUUAGUUAGAUUGUGGAGGUUACACUAUACAUGAAAACAAUAUUACUUCAUUUUGGCAAAGCUCUUAAACUCAAAAGAAAUCAUGUGUAACGCCCUGAUUUAUUAAAUUUUACUUUUAUGAAUUUCAUAAUAUUUAAGUAUCUGUAUUAGUGGUCAAGUGACUUAAUUCUGUGUCUAAAGUCUUGAUUCAAAUCUCAAUUCAAUCAUAAAUUAGUUUAUCUUGGGCUUGUUUUGAAAUAAAUAUAGCAAAUAUUUAAUUUAUGUUUAAUUCCAUUUUAUGUUUUGCUUUUGUUUUUAUUUAUUUUUGUUAAAAAAACCCAAAACCCACAUUUCCCCUUUUGUUAUUUCCCUAAGCCACUCAGCAAUUUCAAAUUCCAAAUUUUGUUUUUCUUGUUUCAUCUAUUCGACUGUUCUUCCAAUUUUUGCUGUGGGAGUUUUCUUUAAACGUUGGGUUGCUGCUUGUUGGGUUUCCAAUUUGUCCCUUCCUUGGGAGUUUUGGUAUGUUGAAAGAGUUCGAUUCUUGGUUAUUUUGUACGUCGAUAUUGUUAUAAUCGUUUUAUUUAUUGUAUUUAGGUCCCGGGAGUCUUAUGGUUGCUUUCUCGUUGAAAUUAAAUCAAAUGCGUAACGAGAAAUCUGAAAAACAGCGAAUGGUGAAAGCCAAAAUUAGGUGCAAUCGACGCUACAUAGUUAUAUGCCAGAGCAUAUAAGAAAAUAAAAUAAACAACAUAAUAAUAUACAUGGUUCGAGAAUAAUCUCUAUUUCCAUGACCAGAAUAAAAAAUGAACUCGCUAUAAAAAAACUCGAGAUUACAAUAUACAAAGCUCACAUAAUAGAAACACCGAUGAUACUACAAAAUUAAACCCCAAAGCGAAGAAAGAAGUUUACAAACAUCAUCACUUCAGCUCUCUGAAAAUACUAAAACACCACCAACCCUUUUACUAGCCUAAGGGACACUCAAUGACCAAUUCGAUGCAUGUACUUGAAUAUCGAUACUUGUUCUUGAGUAUCGAUAAAAAUAGUUGUGAUAUAUAUAUAUAUAUAUAUAAUUUUAAUGUUUCGGAAAUGAAGUGAUAAUCAUAACCUUUAAUCAUCGCAUUCACAUAAUUUUCUAUUUAUUUUUGUUUUGUGACAUUUUUUAUGCAUUACUCACAAUGUGUGAUUUAUUUUUUUUCCAUCAUGAAAAAAUUGAAAAAGUUAAACUAAGGUUUUUAAAGUUAAGAUAGAAAAGAAAAAGAAAAAAAAGAACAUUUUGGUUUUUAAUUACAAUCAUUUUGGGAAAAUUAUAUUCACUACUAUAAUAAAAAUAAAGGUUAAUUUUGUCUUCUAUCCAAAAUCUGAGAUAACCUAAUAAAUGAACUGUAACAAAACUAUACUUUACUAACGGUAUCUUAACAUUGCUCAAGAAUGUGAGAAUGAGAUGACCAAAUUGUUAAAGAAUCCGAACACCAUAAUCAUACAUUUCCAAGUGUAAUUAGAGCAACUAACUACAGAAUAAAAAUUGAAUUAAUUGCGCAAAUAAUUACAAACAGUUACACACAAAUCCAACUUUUUUAUGGCUUUUCACACGCCCAUACAUGAUUUAAGUUUAAAACAUUAUUUUCUAUAUAGUAAUAAUAGUAUUUUAAUUGUAUAGCAUAUAUAUUUUUUAAAAGUAUUUUAUGGCAUAUAUGUUAUUUUUAACAUAUAAUUGUAUAUUAGUUUGCUAAUAUUGUUUAAGUGAUCUGAAUUUUGUUAUUUUUAUUGAUUUAUUUAAUGAUAGUUCUUGAAUUGCAUAAUUGUUUCUAUUUUCAUGCUGAAUGUUCUGUUUAGUGUAGUAAUACUUCGUAACCCUAAUUUGGCGACGGAGACGAAUUAGGGGUGUUACAAAUCUUGCUCAGAUUAACUAGUUAAUUAGAUUGCUUCCCUACAUUUAUAAUGUAUGAAUAACAUGUUCAUGAUUUUAUCUGAAUGAAUAAGCAACCAAGGCACAUAACAUCAUUAACAGAAUUUUAACAAUCUAAUUUAAAAGAAUGCAAUCAAUCUAACAACAACAGAAGUCAUUCUAAUUAAAUUGAAAGCAAAAAAAUUUAGCAAUCAUGUUCAUCAAUUCAUAACAAAUUAAAAAGUUAAAAAAAGGGAAAGUAACCAGAAGACAAAUCCGAUGUUUCUCCGUAGCUCAGCUUGUGUUCCUUUUCCUCCUUCCUUCUACUUUGCACCUUUACACAAUUGCCUUUAAGAUGUCAAAAUUUUCUUCUCAAAGAACUUCUAAAAUGCUUCUCUCAAACUCUUGUGUUGCUCUCUCAAAUGGUAAGUGAAAGAAUGAAGAAUGGGAAAAGAGAUUAUGAGCGAGGGAUAAGUGAAAUGAGUGAAUAGCUAGGCUAUUUAUACUUGUAGAGACCGGCUAUUUUUAGCAAAUGAGAGCCUUGAAAUGAGUGAGUGGAUGACUUUGAAUUUUUUUCUUGAUUCAUGGGAAAGAAACAUUAAAAUGAGAAGGGGAGUUGGAUGGUCAUAUAUGUGAAUUUUGUGGUUGAUUUUUAGUGUUUGCCAAGUCUUGGGUGGCUGAUUUGGACACCUCUAUGGACAGUUGGUACGUCUCCUCCUUAGUGGAUGGUUUGGGCUCCUAUCUCCUUAGCGGGCUAUCCAUUUUUGUUGACCCAAUUCUUAAGUUGGGUCGAGAGAAUUUCCAAAGUCUAAUAAGCCUUUAAUUGGGUCCAAAGUUGACCACAUAUCAACCCUCUUCUGCAUGGCUUAUGUUGUAGAAAUGCUACAGCAUUGAGCACCAAAAAGGUGAGCUUCAUGACUGUCUUUUCUUCCAGUGCAUCAACCGUCUCAAAAAUUGCAAUCAUGUGUUUUAGUGUAUAAAAUGAUCAAAUGAUCAAAUUCAUCUUAGUAUCAUUCAACAUGACAAAGUUGUCAUAAAAAUAUCAAAAUUUGUUAUCAAACACUUAAAGUUUGCAUUAAUUACCAGUCUAGAAGUGCUAAAGAUAACUCUAUAUUUUAGAGUUAUCAGUUAGACAGGAGAGGUGGCGGUAAAAAAGGGAAAGAAACAAGAGGCUGAGUAGCAGUGCAUGUUGACUUGAGGUAAGGCCAUUGACGGUGGUGGCUCGCUUCGACGAUGGAGAGCAUCGAUAGUGAAAUGGCAGUCAAGGGCUUUAAAAAAAAUAAAGUACAAAAGAAGCGGGAGAGAGAAAGGAAAUAUGGACAGUUUGGUGGCUUUUCUUAUCAGUGACAACAACGGAACAAGCAAUGACGAUACAAGAGCAAGGUGAUCAACUUCAACAGAGGAGAACCCCAAUGCCAUUAUUUGGAAAUGAAAGAGAAUGAGGAAAAGAGUUGACGAAUGCCAUUAUUUAGACAGAAGAACAAAUGUCGGAGUGUGGCUGUGGUGCAUGCUAGAGGCAGCUAAGGUUAGGAAAGAGAGGAAGAGAAUAGGAAGAAAAGAAAGAAAAGAAAGAAAUAAAAUUGAAAUAGGAAAGAAUAAAAAAAGGGAAAAUGAAAAUAAAAAAGUAAAAUAGAAAAUUAGAUGGAGAAAAUUGGCUAAAAAUGCCGAAAAAAAAGCUAGGGAAUUAGGUCGAUAUUUCCUAAAUUUGGGGGAAAAAGUCUAUUUUAGAGAGAAAAAAAGAAAAUGCAUCUUGGGAAAAUAUUUUGUACAAAAUUUAUAUUCUUUGACAUAUUAGCUUUUUUUUGUCAAAUAGUCAAAUAUUAGUAGUUUUAUUCUUGAGUGUUUGAGUUCAAUUUCUCUUUAAUAAAUAUUUUGUAAAAAAAUAUUAAUUUGUCAAAAGAAAAUGAGUUCUAUAGAAAGCACUUUUUCCAGGAUGCAGUUUUUAUUUUUCUCCUCAAAAACAGCAUAUUUCCUUAAAUUUGGAAAAUUUCAGCUUAACUCCCUAAUUCUUUUUCGACCUUUUUGCCUAAUUUUUCCAAAAUAGAAGAUAAGUUUAUUAACGAUGGGAUAUCCUUUUCCAAACCAAGUAAAUCCACGGGUUUUGCUUAUUAAUAAAAUAUAAUUUUUUGGUAUUUUUAUGGAUGGGAGAUUCCGAACAUUAUUUUAAAAUUUUAAUUCAUUUAGAAAUAAAAUUAUUUUUUAUUAUAUAUGUAAUUAAUUAAAUGGAUCAUAAUUAAAUAUCAUAUUUCACAAUUUUAAAAUUUAGGAUUCUUAGACAACACGUAAUCAAUAAGGUACCAAUUUUGAUAGUUGUAAAGGUGCUAUAACUUUUCCUACGCGUAAUUGACUUUCGAAUCUAUUUUUUCUUUGAAUUUUAAGGCAUACCUAAAAAUUGUCAUUUUUAAAGAGAUUUUAAAUUUUUUUUAUAAAAUGUGAUUUUAUAGGUGAUCGAUCACUUAAUUAAAAAUACUCAGUGACCUUUUUUUUAAUAAACCCCAUAUUUUUCUUAUAAUCAAAAUUUCCAUAUUUUAAAAUAAACCUCAAGCUGGUUUUUUUUUUUUAAUUUCAACUGAACAAAAAAAAAAUCGUGACAAUCAACAGAAAGACAAAAUUCUUCUUUAAUGCUUUACGUCUAGCAUUGGCUGAAGUAAAUAAGAGGAUAAAUACAAUGCUUAGAACUAUACAUAACACACCUCAACCGUUGAAUAAGAGGAUAAAUAUACCUCAACAUGCUCGAACCCAAGUUAAGACUAUAUCAACUAAAAUUAAAUUUGAAUAAAAAAAUUAUUAAAUGGAUACAAAAAUCUUCAGUCCAAUUCAACUAAUUGAAUUAAACUCAUCUUACUUUUAAAUAAAUAUAAUUUUUAUGAAUAAAUAAAAAUAUGUAUUCAAGAUAAGGAAAAUGUUAUAAGAUCGAAGUUUAAUAUCAAAUUAAACUCAUUUAUAUUUAUAUUCAUCUUAUUCUUUCGAAAUAUAUCAAACUAGUAUAUAAGAAAAUUCAAAUAAAAAUAAAAUAAACAACAUAAUAAUAUAUAUGGUUGGGGAAUAAUCCAUACAUGCACGGCCUGAAUAAAAAAUUAAAUCACUAUAAAAAAAACUCGAGAUUACAGUACACUAAGCUCACAUUAUAGAAAAACCGAAGACCUAAUGGUACUACAAAAUUAAACCCCAAAGCCAAGAAAGAAGUUUACAAACAUCAUCACUUCAGCUCUCUGAAAAUACUAAAACACCACCCACCCUUUUACUAGCCUUUUACAAAAUACUAAAUCACAAAUUCCACCCAUUCAAAGUGUGGUAAUUUUGCAAAGGUACACUCAAUCACAAUAUGCCAAUUACAUCUCAUCAACAUUUAUACUUUGUAGAUUGAAUGAAUUUAGGAUUGGCAUAACAAUGUCACCAGGAUGGUAUCCACAAUCCUGAAUACAAGGUCGGUAUAAAGAAAGGAAGCUUAGUGGAAUAAUUGGAACAUGCAGAUGAAAACACAGCAUUUAUGUUGGUGAAUACAUGUUGCAUAAUAGAAUCAACUAACCUCUUUAUAAAAAUCAAAUAAGCUAAAGUAGCUCAGUUGAAUGCUACCUCACCAAUUUAGCUUUCUUCACCUGCAAGGAUAAUAUUGAUUGCUAUUAUCAACUUGUUCCUCAGGACAAUCACAUAUUAUCGAACUAAACAGCCAUCAAAUUGGUCAAGGUUUAAAUAUUCACACCUGUGGUUUGAGUGUUAGCCUGUGCGGUCCUGUAUCUCCCUCUCUUAUUUCCGACGAAGCAAUGGCUACCAAAGAACUCUCAUGUAUUUAACGAUGUCUAACAAAGGGUACUCUGCAGAUCCAAUCAAACACUUUAUUAAUGCAAAAUGAGAAAGAAAGAUGAGACAGGAAUCAUGCAAAAUGAUGGAAAUAAGUUAAGUUUUGCAUGGUUUAAAUAUAAGUUUUGGAAACAAGAAUCUGCCAUCCAAUAUGAGAAUUUUGCACCACCUCAAUUCUUAAUGAUGAGUUGCUCAAGCUUUUUCUAAGGACGAAGAAAGUCUAGCACCCGCUCUUCGACUUCUUUUUUCCUUGUUUAUUCUCCAACUCUCUACCCCAUGUCUUCAUUAGUUUUCUUGAAAAGCUCUUUUGAAAUCAACACUACCUCGUCGAUUUAGCUUUCAUCACCUGUAAAAAUAUGUAUAUAUAUAUCAGAAAGAUCAGACAGGAAUACUGCAAAAUGAUGGAAAUAAGUAAUGUUUCACAUGCUUAUAUCAUAUGGUUUAAACUAUACCAAAUUCAUCACAUCUACGAAUCCAAAAUAUUCUCCAAAAUCAAAAAAAUUCUCUUCAAUGGCAUCAGUAUGGUUAUAUAUAAAUACCGAAGAGAAGUGACAUCUUUUUACUUUUCCUUCAAAGGAUCUUUCUGAAAUCCCACUUCCACCCCAACUUAGCUUUCAAUGCCUGCAAAUAUCAAUCAAUAAAUUUAUACUAAUUCCUAUUAUUAUCUUGUUCCUAAGGAAAGUUUAGAAAUGUUUGAAAUGGUUUUUUGUACCUGUCCCAUGACUCUGAAGAAACCAAUCACAAAUUUUGCGCCUCAUCUUUCAAUCUGAUUUCCUCGGGAUGACUAUUUUACCAUCAAUUCUAAUAAGGGGUAUGCAGGAAAUCUUAGACCACUCUCGUCCUUUAUCGCUUGAGCACUCUUCUUUCAACAAUGGACAACUGUAAAUAAGUGAACAUCCAACCGAGCGAAGCAAAUUUUUUUUCCGGAAGAUAUGUUAGCUUGGGACAUUUAUCGAUUACCAAUUCUUUAAGAGAGGCGAGAUCUUGAAAGCCUUUGGAGAUGAAUUCCAGGUUCUCAAAUUCGAAAAGCUUGAUACGGGUGAGAGAAUGAGGCAACAUCACUCGACUCCCUUCUUCUAGGAACGACACCACGUUUGAGCAACCUCCACCUUCGAUGGUCAAUUCUUGAAGAGAGGUGAGUCCAUUUAAUCCCCAUUCCACAAGUGACCUAUAAAUUUUGGGUGCGUUUGAGAUUGCAAGUGAUGUGAGAUUGGCAGGGAAUCCUUCCGAUGGAAAUGAUAUCUCAGCCGAACAGUUGGACACACUUAAUUGUCGAAGGGAGGUGAUGCUGACCAUGCACUUAGGAAGGGCUCCAAAAUUUCCACAAUUAACAACUACGAAAGCUCUGAAGCUGGUGGUGAGCAACCCACUUCCUUCAAAAGAAACCAAAUUUGAAUACGAAUACAACGAAAUCUUCUGGAGAUGGAUGAGCUUGUCUAGUCCUCGUGGUAGAGAUUUAAUUCCAGAAAAUGUAAUUGCAAUAGAUUCAAGACAAGCGGUUUCCUCAAACUCUUUGGCUAUGUAUUCCAACUCUGGACAUCCCUCAAUUAUCAAAUGUUUAAGCGUUAUGGGAAACUUGGUGUUUGAAAAUAGGCAACUCAGCUUUGAGCAUUUGAUAAUUUGGAGAAGUUGAAGCUGAUUGCAAAUAUUUUUGUGCCCCUUCGAUGACAAAGACAUUAGAGAUCGACAAUUUUGAAUUUCCAAGUCCUCGAAAAGACAAAGGGUACUACUUAUACACUUAUUAUCUUCUUUUUCAUCAACCAAAUACUCCAAAUUCUCACAGUUUCUAAUUCUCAGCUUUUUUAAAUUAGAAGGUAAGUUAUUCUCUGAAAAAGAAACCAAGCUUCAACAAUUAUAAAUUUCCAUCACUGUAAGGAAUGUGAGCUCAUGUAAGACUUGUGGCAGUCUAUUGAGCCUAUCACAAUAAGCUAUCUUCAGAGAUUCAACACGUGAAAUCUUGUCAGAUUGCAAUUCGGCUUCCUCGGCUUCCAAAGACUGCAGUUGAGGAUAACGCCGAACGGUUAUGAAACGAUGUCCAACUUGUUGUUCCAAUAGGAUCGGAAGCGUGUAAAUUAUUGUACUAAAAAAUCACACAAAGUUCAAUUCCUAGGGAAGAGAGGUGGAUCACAAGGAUCUCUUAAAUACCAAGUCUUUCCUUAGUCAGAAUAUCCCUUUUAUAGUAAUUUAAUAGCACAAUUAAAUACUACUAUUAUACCCUCAAAUAUUGAAAGAAAAAUAGGACAAGAAAGAACACAAGAGUUUUAACGAGGUUCGGUAAAUUAUACCUACGUCCUCGGGCACUAACACCAAAUGAUAACUUUACUAUCUCCAAAAUAUUACAAACAAAUAGAAUUCCUUAAGAAUUCUCAAAUGGGAGAAGAGAAAAAACUAAGAGAGAAAGAUUGGUUGGGAUGGUUGAAAUGAGAAAUGGUUAGGCCUAUUUAUAGUUGAGGUUCAGGGACUAACUUGCAAAUGGCCUAAAAAAUUAGGGACCAAAAUUGCAAUUAUCCCUUUCAACUUUAAACAACUUGCCAACUAUUUUUUUUUCUUUCGGUGCCAAUUGCACCUCCCACCAUUUUUGACUUUUCAACACUUACCUUAUUUGACUUUUCAACAAUCUCUACCUUGAAGAUUUGAUUAGGAUAAUCACAUCUUCACACAUUUCCUUCAACUCCCCAAAUUCGAUAAAAUUAUCUUUUGUAGUGCCUCCAAAUGCACUCUCGAGCGCCAUACACCUGAAGGUGCUCAAAUUCUCAGGAUGUUAAUUAAGUUUAAACAAUGAUUAAACUUGAUUGUUAUUACCACCUUGGUCAUCAUAUUUGCAGGAUUAUCUGCUGUCGGAAUCUUCUGAAGUAGAAUUUUUCCUUUUUCAAAGACUUCCCGCACAAAGUGAUAUCUUAUGUCGAUAUGCUUGGUUCUUGAAUGAUAGACUUGAUUUUUCGCUAAAUGAAUAGCGCUCUGACUGUCACAAUAUAGACUAAUGUGACUUUGAACAACUCCCAAGUCUUUCAACAAUCCAUUAAGCCAAAUAGCCUCCUUAACAGCUUCUGUAACUGCCAUAUAUUCUGCCUCUGUAGUAGACACAGCUACUGUAGACUGUAAGGUAGACUUCCAACUCACUGGGGCUUUCGCAAGAGUAAACAGAUACCCCGUAGUUGAACGACAUUUAUCUAAAUCACCAGCAAAGUCGGAAUCAACAUAUCCAACUACAAACUGACCAAGUGCUUCAUCCUGUUCAAAAAUUAAACCAACAUCUACGGUUUUUCGAAGAUACCGUAGAAUCCAUUUCACAGCUUGCCAAUGUCCUUUUUCUGGAUCAUGCAUAUACCUGCUCACAACUCCAACAACUUGUGAAAUGUCAGGCCGCGUACACACAAUCGCAUACAUCAAACUCCCAAUUGCAUUUGUAUAUGGGACUUUUGCCAUAUAUUCUCUUUCUUCUUCAGUUUUCGGAAAUAAUUGAGCACUAAGUUUCAAAUGAGAAGCAAGUGGGGUACUUACAUGUUUUGUGUUUUCAUUUACACCAAAACAUUGUAAUACCUUUUUCAGAUAUUGCUUCUGAUUCAAACAAAGCUUGCCUCUCUGUCUAUCUCUACUUAUCUCCAUGCCGAGAAUCUUCUUGGCCUCACCUAGAUCUUUCAUCUCGAACUCUUGAUUCAACUGAGCCUUCAGCUUAUCUAUCUUUUUAUGGCUCUUUGAAGCGAUUAACAUAUCAUCAACAUACAAGAGUAGAUAAAUGAAAGAUCCGUCAUGCAGCUUCUGCAAAUACACACAAUUGUCAUAUUUGCUUCUUGUGUACUUCUGCCUUCUCAUAAAGCUAUCAAAUCGCUUGUACCACUACUUCGGGGAUUGCUUCAAUCCAUAUAGCGAUUUGUUCAGCUUACAAACCGAAUUUCUACCAGCAACAUCUGUGUAUCCUUCGGGCUGAGUCAUAUAGAUCUCCUCUUUUAACUCACCAUGUAAGAAAGCCGUCUUAACAUCAAGUUGAGCUAGCUCCAAAUUCAACUGUGCUACCAAGGCCAACAAAAUUCUAAUGGAGGAAUGCUUCACAACAGGGGAAAAUACAUCAUUGUAGUCAAUUCCCUCCUUCUGAGCGUAGCCUUUAGCUACCAAUCUUGCCUUGUAGCGAACAUCUUUCUUGCUAGGAGAUCCAUCUUUCUUUGCGAAUACCCACUUGCAUCCGAUUGCCCUUUUACCUUUCGGUAAUUGCGCCAACUCCCAAGUAUUGUUCUUCCGGAGAGACUGCAUUUCUUCAUCCAUGGCGCUUUUCCAUUUAUCACUUUCUAAGCUUUGCAUUGCUUCUUGAUAAGUGAUAGGAAUAUCAUCAUCAACAACGGGAAGGGCGUAGGCCACCAUAGCAGUAAAUCGAGCAGGUCUACGAAUUUCUCUCCAUGGCCUUGCAACUGCAACUGGUUCUGGUGUACUUAACGGUUCUUGGGUCAGAACCUCUUGCAUAAAUCACCAGUCUAGAAGUGCUAAAGAUAACUCUAUAUUUUAGAGUUAUCAGUUAGAUAGGAGAGGUGACGGUAAAAAAGGGAAAGAAACAAGAGGCUGAGCAGCAGUGCAUGUUGACUAGAGGCAAGGCCAUUGACGAUGGUGGCUCGGUUCGAUGAAGAAGAGCAUCAGCAGUGAAACGGCGAUCAAGGGCUUUAAAAAAAGUAGAAAAGAAUGAGGAGAGAGAAAGGAAAUGUGGACCAUUUGGUGGCUUCUCUGAUCAGUGACAACAACGGAAUAAGUAAUGACGACACAAUAGCAAGGUGAUCAACAGAGGAGAACCCCAACGCCAUUAUUUGGAAAUGAAAGAGAAUGAGGAAAAGAGUUGACCGAUGCCAUUAUUUAGACAGAAAAACAAAUGUCAGAAUGCGGCUGUGGUGCAUGCUGGCGGCAGCUAAGGUUAGGAAAGAGAGGAAGAGAAUAGGAAGAAAAGAAAGAAAUAAAUUGAAAUAGGAAAGAAUAAAAAAGGGAAAAUGGGGGGAACAAGAAAGUGAAAUAGAAAAUUAGAAGGAGAAAAUUGGAUAAAAAUGCCAAAAAAAAAGUUAGGGAAUUAGGUCGAUAUUUCCUAAAUUUGGGGAAAGAAGUCUAUUUUGGAGGAAAAAAAAUAGAAAUGCAUCUUGGGAAAAAUAUUUUGUACAAAAUGUAUAUUCUUUUGACAUAUUAGCUUUUUUUAGUCAAAUGGUCAAAUAUUAAUUGUUUUAUUCUUGAGUGUUUGAGUUCAAUUUCUCUUUAAUAAAUAUAUUGUAAAAAAAUACUAAUUUGUCAAAAGAAAAUGAGUUAUGUAGAAAGCACUUUUUCCAGGACGUAUUUUUUAUUUUUCUCUUCAAAAUCAACAUAUUUCCUUAAAUUUGGAAAAUUUCAGCCUAACUCCCUAAAUUUUUUCGACCUUUUUGCCUAAUUUUUCCAAAAUAGAAGAUAAAUUUAUUAACGAUGGGAUAUCCUUUUGCAAACCAAGUAAAUCCACGGGUUUUGCUUAUUAAUAAAAUAUAAUUUUUUGGUAUUUUUAUGGAUAGGAGAUACCAAACAUUAUUUUAAAAUUUUAAUUCAUUUAGAAAUAAAAUUAUUUUUUUAUAUAUGUAAUUAAUUAAAUGGAUCAUAAUUAAAUAUUAUAUUUCACAAUUUUAAAAUUUAAGAUUCUCAUACAACACGUAAUCAAUAAGGUAUCAAUUUUGGUAGUUGUAAGGGUGUUACGUAUAAUUGACUUGAAUCUAUUUUUUCUUUGAAUUUCAACCCAUAUCUAAAAAUUGUCAUUUUUAAACAUUUUUAGUGAGAUUUUAAAUUUUUUUAUAAAAUAUGAUUUUAUAGGUGAUCAAUCACAUUUAACCAAAAAUACUCCUUUUUUUAAUAAAACCUAUAUUUUUCUUAAAAUCAAAAUUUUCAUAUUUUAAAAUAAGCCUCGAGCUAUUUUUUUUUUAAUUUUCAACUAAACAAAAAAGGAUCGUGACAAUCAAAAGGAAGACAAAAAUCUUCUUUGAUGCUAUAUGUCUUGCAUUGGCUGAAGUAUAUAAGAGGAUAAAUAAAAUGCUUAGAAACUAUACAUAACUCACUCUAACCAUUGAAUAAGAGGAUAAAUGUGCCUCAGUACGCUCAAAUCCGAGCUAAGACUAUAUCGACUAAAAUUAAAUUUGAAAAAAAAAAUUUAUUAAAUGGAUACAAAAUUCUUCAAUCAAAUUCAACUAAUCAAAUUAAACUCAUCUGACUUUUAAAUAACUAUAAUUUUUAUGAAUAAAUAAAAAUAUAUAUUCAAAAUAAGGAAAAUAUUAUAAGAUUGAAGUUUAAUGUCAAAUAAAACUCAUUUAUCUUUAUGUUCAUCUUAUUCUUCCGUAAUAUAUCAAACUAGUAUAUAAGAAACUUAAAGCAAUAAAAUAAAAUAAACAACAUAAUAAUAUCCGUGGUUCGGGAAUAAUCCUUACAUCCAUGGCUAGAAUAAAAAUUGAACUCACUAUAAAAAAAACUUGAGAUUACAAUAGACAAAACUCACAUUAUAGAAAAACUGAAGACCUAAUAGUACUAUAAAAUUAAACCCCAAAGCCAAGAAAGAAGUAUACAAACAUCAUCACUUCAGCUCUCUACCACCCACCCUUUUACUAGCCUAAGGGACACUAAAUGACAAAUUCCUCCCAUUGAAGUGUGGUUAUUUUGCAAAAGGACACUCAAUCACAAUAUGCCAAUAACAUCUCAUCAACAUUUAUACUUUGUCUUUCAAAAUUUUAACAAGAUUGAAUGAAUUUAGGAUUGGCACAGCAAUGUCACCAGGAUGGUAUCCACAAUCCUGAAUACAAGGACGGUAUAACAGGUAAGCAACAUAUAAAGAAAGGAAGCUUAGUGGAAUACUUAGAACAUGCAGAUGAAAACAGAGCAUUUAAGUUGCUGAAUAAAUGUUGCAUAAUAGAAUCAACUAACCUCUUUAUGAAAGUCAAAUAAGCUAAAGUAGCUCGGUUGAAUGCCUUCAUUAAUUUUCUUGAAAUGAACAUUACCUCACCAAUUUAGCUUUCUUCAUCUGCAAAGAUAAUAUUGAUUGCUAUUAUCAUCUUGUUCCUUAGGACAAUCACAUAUUAUCGAACUAAAUAGCCAUAAAAUUGAUCAAGCUUUAAAUGGUUUCACACCUAUGGUUUGAGUGUUAGCCUGUGUGGUCAUCGACGAAGCAACGGCUACCAAAGAACUCUCAAGUUUUUAGCUUUCAUCAUCUGUAAAAAUAAAUAUAUAAGAAAGAUCAGACAGGAAUACUGCAAAAUGAUGCAAAUAAGUAAUGUUUCACAUGCUUAUAUCAUAUGGUUUAAACCAUACCAAAUUCAUCACAUCUAGGAAUCCAAAAUAUUCUCCAAAAUCACAAAAAAUCUCUUCAAUGGCAUCAGGAUGGUUAUAUACAAAUACCAAAGAGAAAUGACAUCUUUUUACUUUUCCUUCAAAGGAUCUUUCUUAAAGCCCACUUCCACGUCAACUUAGCUUUCAAUGUCUGCAAAUAUCAAUAAAUAAAUUUAUACUAAUUCCUAUUAUUAUCUUUUCCUAAGGAAAGUUAGAAAUGUUUGAAAUGGUUUUUUGUACCUGUCCCAUGACUCUGAAAAAACCAAUCACAGAUUUUGCGGCUCAUCUUUCAAUCUGAUUCCCUCGGGAUGACUCUUUUACCACCAAUUUUAACAAGGGGUAUGUGGGAAAUCUUAGACCACUCUCGUCCUUUAUCGCUUGAGCACUCUUCUUUCAGCAACGGACAACUUAAAAUAUGUAAAACUCCAAGCGAGCCAAGCAUGUCUUUUUUCGGAAGAGAUGUUAGCUUGGGACAAUCACUGAUUUCCAAUCCUUGGAGAGAGGCGAGGUCUUGAAAGCCCUCGGAGAACAUGGAUUCCAGGUUCUUAAAUUCUGAAAGGAUGAUACGGAGGAGAGAAGGAGGCAGCAUCAUUCCAAUCCCUUCUUCUGGGAACGACACCACGUUUGAGCAUCCUCCACCUCUGAUGGCCAAUGCUUGAAGAGAGGUGAGUCUAUUUAAUCCCCAUUCCACAAGUGACCUAUAAAUUUUGGGUGCGUUUGAGAUUGCAAGUGAUGUGAGAUUGGCAGGGAAUCCCUCCGAUGGAAAUGAUAUGUCAACCGAACAGUUGCACACAAUUAAUUCUCGAAGGGAGAUGAUGCUGGCCAUGCACUUAGGAAGGGCUCCAAAAUUUCCACAAUCAACAACUACGAAAGCUCUUAAGCUGGUGCUGGGCAACCCACUUUCUUCAAAAGAAACCAAAUUUGAACACGAAUCCAAACAAAUCUCCUGGAGAUGGAUGAGCUUGCCUAGUCCUCGUGGUAGAGAUUUAAUUCCAGAAAAUAUAAUUUCAAUAGUUUCAAGACAAGCUGUUUCCUCAAACUCUUGGGCUAUGUAUUCCAACUCUGGACAUUCCAAAAUUGUCAAAUGUUUAAGCGUUAUGGGAAACUUGGUGUUUGAAAAUAGGCAACUCAGCUUUGAGCAGUGUUGAAUUAUGAGAAGUUGAAGCCCAUUGCAAAUAUUUUUGUGCCCCUUCGAUGACAAAUACAUUAGAGAUGGACAGAAAGAGAUUUCCAAGUCCUCAAGAAGACAGAGGGUACUACUCAUACUUUUAUUAUCUUCUUUUCAUCAACCAAAUACUCCAAAUUCUCACAGUCUGCAAUCUUCAGCUUUUUUAAAUUAGGAGGUAAGUUAUUCUCUGCAAAAGAAACCAAGCUUGGACAAUUUUGAAUUUCCAUCACUGUAAGGAAUGUGAGCUCAUGUAAGACUUGUGGCAGUCUAUUCAGCCCAUCACAAGUAGCUAUCUUCAGAGAUUCAACACGUGAAAUCUUGUCAAGUUGCAAUUCGGCUUCCUCCGCUUCCAAAGACUGCAGUUGAGGACAACGCCGAACGGUUAUUAAACGAUGUCCAACUAAACUAAACCCAUGCUGUGACAGAGAUGCCAACUCCUCCCAACCAUCAAUUUCAAGAUGUUCUGAGUUUCCAAACCUCAGCAUUGUCUUAUCUACUGGAAUAUUGAACUUCGAAAUGUUAGAAAGAGACAAAGUUUGCAAAGAGGAAAGCUCCUUUGCAGGAGAAGAGCAAUCAUCCACCAGUUCUGCACACCCGCUUAUACUUAACUCACACGGUGACGGGAAACUUGAUAUUGAAACUACCAAACUCGUACACCUAUGAAUUUCAAGUUUUUGCAAGGAAGGAAGAUGGGUAGGCAACCUUCCCAACAAUUGACGAUAGGUUUUGAUUGAAAGCUCACGAAGGCUGGGGAGUUUCAAAACCUUCUCGUCUCCUUCACAAGUGUCCCACUCCUUCCAAUUUGGAAGACUCUCAAAAGACAGAAUCUCUAAUGAUGCAAAUGGAUUCAAUG
rnacentral:lncRNA from 1 species